rnacentral:rRNA from 1 species
GGUUAAGCGACUAAGCGUACACGGUGGAUGCCCUGGCAGUCAGAGGCGAUGAAGGACGUGCUAAUCUGCGAAAAGCGUCGGUAAGGUGAUAUGAACCGUUACAGCCGGCGAUGUCCGAAUGGGGAAACCCAGUGCAAUUCGUUGCACUAUCGUUAACUGAAUACAUAGGUUAACGAGGCGAACCGGGGGAACUGAAACAUCUAAGUACCCCGAGGAAAAGAAAUCAACCGAGAUUCCCCCAGUAGCGGCGAGCGAACGGGGAGCAGCCCAGAGUCUGAAUCAGCUUGUGUGUUAGUGGAACGGUCUGGAAAGUCCGACGGUACAGGGUGAUAGUCCCGUACACCAAAAUGCACAGGCUGUGAACUCGAAGAGUAGGGCGGGACACGUGGUAUCCUGUCUGAAUAUGGGGGGACCAUCCUCCAAGGCUAAAUACUCCUGACUGACCGAUAGUGAACCAGUACCGUGAGGGAAAGGCGAAAAGAACCCCGGCGAGGGGAGUGAAAAAGAACCUGAAACCGUGUACGUACAAGCAGUGGGAGCACCUUCGGGUGUGACUGCGUACCUUUUGUAUAAUGGGUCAGCGACUUAUAUUCUGUAGCAAGGUUAACCGUAUAGGGGAGCCGCAGGGAAACCGAGUCUUAACUGGGCGUUAAGUUGCAGGGUAUAGACCCGAAACCCGGUGAUCUAGCCAUGGGCAGGUUGAAGGUUGGGUAACACUAACUGGAGGACCGAACCGACUAAUGUUGAAAAAUUAGCGGAUGACUUGUGGCUGGGGGUGAAAGGCCAAUCAAACCGGGAGAUAGCUGGUUCUCCCCGAAAGCUAUUUAGGUAGCGCCUCGUGAAUUCAUCUUCGGGGGUAGAGCACUGUUUCGGCUAGGGGGUCAUCCCGACUUACCAACCCGAUGCAAACUACGAAUACCGAAGAAUGUUAUCACGGGAGACACACGGCGGGUGCUAACGUCCGUCGUGAAGAGGGAAACAACCCAGACCGCCAGCUAAGGUCCCAAAGUCAUGGUUAAGUGGGAAACGAUGUGGGAAGGCACAGACAGCCAGGAUGUUGGCUUAGAAGCAGCCAUCAUUUAAAGAAAGCGUAAUAGCUCACUGGUCGAGUCGGCCUGCGCGGAAGAUGUAACGGGGCUAAACCAUGCACCGAAGCUGCGGCAGCGACACUAUGUGUUGUUGGGUAGGGGAGCGUUCUGUAAGCCUGCGAAGGUGUGCUGUGAGGCAUGCUGGAGGUAUCAGAAGUGCGAAUGCUGACAUAAGUAACGAUAAAGCGGGUGAAAAGCCCGCUCGCCGGAAGACCAAGGGUUCCUGUCCAACGUUAAUCGGGGCAGGGUGAGUCGACCCCUAAGGCGAGGCCGAAAGGCGUAGUCGAUGGGAAACAGGUUAAUAUUCCUGUACUUGGUGUUACUGCGAAGGGGGGACGGAGAAGGCUAUGUUAGCCGGGCGACGGUUGUCCCGGUUUAAGCAUGUAGGCUGGUUGUCCAGGCAAAUCCGGAUAAUCAAGGCUGAGGUGUGAUGACGAGGCACUACGGUGCUGAAGUAACAAAUGCCCUGCUUCCAGGAAAAGCCUCUAAGCAUCAGGUAACAUUAAAUCGUACCCCAAACCGACACAGGUGGUCAGGUAGAGAAUACCAAGGCGCUUGAGAGAACUCGGGUGAAGGAACUAGGCAAAAUGGUGCCGUAACUUCGGGAGAAGGCACGCUGGUGUGUAGGUGAAGCCCCUGCGGGUGGAGCUGAGACCAGUCGAAGAUACCAGCUGGCUGCAACUGUUUAUUAAAAACACAGCACUGUGCAAACACGAAAGUGGACGUAUACGGUGUGACGCCUGCCCGGUGCCGGAAGGUUAAUUGAUGGGGUUAUCCGUAAGGAGAAGCUCUUGAUCGAAGCCCCGGUAAACGGCGGCCGUAACUAUAACGGUCCUAAGGUAGCGAAAUUCCUUGUCGGGUAAGUUCCGACCUGCACGAAUGGCGUAAUGAUGGCCAGGCUGUCUCCACCCGAGACUCAGUGAAAUUGAACUCGCUGUGAAGAUGCAGUGUACCCGCGGCAAGACGGAAAGACCCCGUGAACCUUUACUAUAGCUUGACACUGAACAUUGAGCCUUGAUGUGUAGGAUAGGUGGGAGGCUUUGAAGCGUGGACGCCAGUCUGCGUGGAGCCAACCUUGAAAUACCACCCUUUAAUGUUUGAUGUUCUAACGUUGGCCCCUGACCGGGGUUGCGGACAGUGUCUGGUGGGUAGUUUGACUGGGGCGGUCUCCUCCCAAAGCGUAACGGAGGAGCACGAAGGUUAGCUAAUCCUGGUCGGACAUCAGGAGGUUAGUGCAAUGGCAUAAGCUAGCUUGACUGCGAGCGUGACGGCGCGAGCAGGUGCGAAAGCAGGUCAUAGUGAUCCGGUGGUUCUGAAUGGAAGGGCCAUCGCUCAACGGAUAAAAGGUACUCCGGGGAUAACAGGCUGAUACCGCCCAAGAGUUCAUAUCGACGGCGGUGUUUGGCACCUCGAUGUCGGCUCAUCACAUCCUGGGGCUGAAGUAGGUCCCAAGGGUAUGGCUGUUCGCCAUUUAAAGUGGUACGCGAGCUGGGUUUAGAACGUCGUGAGACAGUUCGGUCCCUAUCUGCCGUGGGCGCUGGAGAAUUGAGGGGGGCUGCUCCUAGUACGAGAGGACCGGAGUGGACGCAUCACUGGUGUUCGGGUUGUCAUGCCAAUGGCACUGCCCGGUAGCUAAAUGCGGAAGAGAUAAGUGCUGAAAGCAUCUAAGCACGAAACUUGCCCCGAGAUGAGUUCUCCCUGAGACUAUAAGUCUCCUGAAGGAACGUUAAAGACGAUGACGUUGAUAGGCCGGGUGUGUAAGCGCAGCGAUGCGUUGAGCUAACCGGUACUAAUGAACCGUGAGGCUUAACCUU